rnacentral:rRNA from 1 species
UUCCAGCUCCAAAAGUGUAUAUUUAAGUUGUUGCGGUUGAAAAGCUCGUAGUUGGAUUUUGGGAUGGUGCGUACGGUCGGCCGCAAGGCUUGUACUGAACGUGCUGUCCUCACGUGACCGGCGCCUCUAAGGUGCUCUUAACUGAGUGUCUGUGUGGUCCGGGAAGUUUACCUUGAAAAAAUUAGAGUGUUCAAAGCAGGCUUAAAGCUUGAAUAAUGUUGCAUGGAAUAAUGGAAUAGGACCUCGGUUCUAUUUUGUUGGUUUUCGGAGCGCGAGGUAAUGAUUAAGAGGGACGGACGGGGGCAUCCGUACUGUGCCGCUAGAGGUGAAAUUCUUGGAUCGGCGCAAGACGAACAACUGCGAAAGCAUUUGCCAAGAAUGUUUUCUUUAAUCAAGAGCGAAAGUCAGAGGUUCGAAGACGAUCAGAUACCGUCCUAGUUCUGACCUUAAACGAUGCCGACUAGCGAUCGGGCAGUGUCGAAAGUAAGACCUGCCCGGCAGCUUCCGGGAAACCAAAGUCUUUGGGUUCCGGGGGAAGUAUGGUUGCAAAGCUGAAACUUAAAGGAAUUGACGGAA